ensembl:lncRNA SNHG29 small nucleolar RNA host gene 29
GGGCCUGGCGCACAUAAGGUGUGACCUUUUCAUUCCCGUUGUUAUGGAGGGCCACAUCUGCCAGAGCCUGGAGUCUGCGAAGGCCGGGACCCGGUUCCCCGGCCCACAGUGGGGGUGUGCAAACCCGAGAGAACUGGGUUGCAAAUUCGUGAAGAAUCAGCAUCAUGUUUGGCAGCUGAGUAUUGGAGCCAGGAGCCUGCCAUGAGGUUUUGAGAACAGAGUGCUGUUUUAGAGCUGGCAGCAGCAUCUCAGCCCAAGAGAAGCCGAUGCAGCCUCAGUGUUCCUUUGCCUUGGGGGUUUCUGAGUGGUGGGGUUGUAAGCAGAUCCUGCCAGGCACCCAGAAGGAAACCUCAUCAGGACUCCCUCAGAAAGGCCCUGAAGAAUCCUGUGACCUUCAUCUAAAGUAGGUCAUGAGACCCCUGAGCUUAAAACGGAGUGAUCGGCUUUGGAGAAGUAAGGAGACAUGACGUGCCUGCCCUGGGGUGGGGACUAAACUUCGUGCCACUCCACGUGAAAGGGGGAGGUACGCCUGCUCCCUUUCCUCAAGCCCCCCCCUCCCAAUUUCUGCCAUCCUUGGGUAUGAGCUACACGACAGUCCCUGACCCUAGCUUGGUGCCCUGCACAGACCAGGCAAUGCUGACAUUCCCAUCCGGAGACUGUCCUCACACCAUCCUGGGGAACAUGAGACAUCCCUGGGUAGGGAGGCAAAGCAGGCCCACCCACUGCAGGCUGUCCUCAUUCUGGGGGCUCCCACAGCUGCCCCAGCACAGCCCAGAGAAAGGCUCCCAGCCCAGGUGGCUGGGGUCCAGUGCCCUGGGGACGGGACGUCUGGGCAGGGAAUGUGUGGGUAACCAGCUGAGUUUGCUCCUUGUCAUUUUGUUUGUAUUCUGAACUUUUAAAAUACCUUCCCCACAUGAUUCUUAGAAAUCCCUGGAAGGCACGCAGGCUGGACAUCAUCAUAUAUUCUCUACAGAUGGAGACACCAAGGCCCACGCCUUCUGUGCUGUUGGAAUUUCAGGAAGGAUGGGGGUGGGGCACGGCCUCAGCCCUGGGCAUGUUCUGCAGAUUGCACUGCUCUUAUCUGCCAGGGGGUGGUGAGAGGGUGGCUGAGCUGGACAGAUGGCGGGCAGGGACGGGCUCUGCGGUCUGGCAGCUGACAUUGAUACAAGCAAAAAAAGAGUCUUUGCUGGGGGCUCUGGAGGGCCUGGGUGUCAUGCCUGGGGGUGGGAGGAGCCUCUUGUGGGGAGCCCCUUGGAGCCCAACUGCCAGCCAGGUCCUACCUGCCGUGGUUAGGGGGCACUCUGCCCCCACCCUCAUUAACGCCUCAGUGAGGACACAAGAGGCCAGUUGUGAGGGCUGUUUUCCAUAUGGCAGGAAUGAACCUUGGAGGCGAACUGCCAGGUCCUGUGCCAGGCUCUCUGGCUGCUGAAAAAAUUUGCUGGGAACCAGGACCUGGGGGCUCAAGGUCUGUCAUGGAUGCAGUCAGGGGAGGCUUCUGAAGCACUGGCUGGUACAGGUUCUAGAGCUGCACCCCCUUGUAGAAGCAGGCAUGACUCCACAGUUUCUGCAACAACAGAGCCGGGGAAAGGAGGACGCAGCAAGCGCUGAAUAUUAACCAGCAAAGGUGGGCCCUGAAUCCAAAACAAGUGUUCUUACAAGAGACACAGAGAAGGCAGCAAUGUGAAGGUGGAGGCAGAGAAGGGAGUGAUGCGGCCACAACCACCAGAAGCUGGAAGGGAGAAAGAGUGAAAUCUCCCCUGGAAUCUCUGGAUGGACACGGCCCUGCCGACACUCUCAUCUCAGACUUCUGGCCUCCAAACCAUGAGAGAAUAUGUUUCGGUUGGUCCAAGUCACUCAGCCAGUGGUCAUUGGUUACGGCAGCCCCAGGAAAUGAAUGCACCAGAUUGGAUCAGGACAGAGGUGGCAUUUUUCCCAGGGGCACACCAGGCAAAAGGGAGAAGAGAUCAAGGCAAGUGGCCGGGACCCCUCCCUUCUUCCACAGCUGCAGACCUCAGCCAAGAGCACAGCUGUGGGCAACCAAGGACGUUAUUGCCAGAAAUCAACUUGCUGUCUCCACCAGCCCUGAAGCCUCUGUGGGUACACUCUCCUUUGCUGUCUGCUCCCAGGGGCAGGGCUGUACUAGUCAGAAAUGCUUCCUAUAGGAUCCCCAAGGUGGUUCUCAGCUCAACAUGGGAAAGAACCUUUAAAAACAGGUGAUGAAGGAAAUGCUGACACUGUCCACGACAAGGAUGAGGCUUGAAGACUCCACUAAGAGAAAUAAGCUCGGAACGAGAGGACAAAUACCGCAUGAGGCCACUUACGUGAGGGACCAAGAGUAUCUAAUCAUUCAAAGUACUCAAAUUCACAGAGACAGAGGGUAAAAUGGCAGUUGCUGGGACUGGGGAAGGGGGAAUUCGUGUUGGGUGGGGACAGGGUUUCAGUUUGAGGAAGAUGAAAGAGUUCUGGAGAUGGAAGGUGGUAAUGGUUGCACAGCAAUAUGAAUGUGCUUAAUGCCACUGAACUGUGCACCUAAAAUGGUUAAAACGG